CCUACGGGAGGCAGCAGUGGGGAAUAUUGGGCAAUGGGCGCAAGCCUGACCCAGCAACGCCGCGUGAAGGAAGAAGGCUUUCGGGUUGUAAACUUCUUUUCUCAGGGACGAAGCAAGUGACGGUACCUGAGGAAUAAGCCACGGCUAACUACGUGCCAGCAGCCGCGGGAAUACGUAGGUGGCAAGCGUUAUCCGGAUUUACUGGGUGUAAAGGGCGUGUAGGUGGGAAAGCAAGGCAGAUGUGAAAACCAUGGGCUCAACCUGUGGCCUGCAUUUGAAACUGUUUUUCUUGAGUACUGGAGAGGCAGGCGGAAUUCCUAGUGUAGCGGUGAAAUGCGUAGAUAUUAGGAAGAACACCAGUGGCGAAGGCGGUCUGCUGGACAGCAACUGACGCUGAGGCGCGAAAGCGUGGGGAGCAAACAGGAUUAGAUACCCCUGUAGUC
rnacentral:rRNA from 1 species